GUUAACAUAGUUUAAUAAAACACUAGGUUGUGGACCUAGAGAUAGAAGUUAAACCCUUCUUGUAGACC
rnacentral:tRNA from 1 species